rnacentral:rRNA from 1 species
GACGAACGCUGGCGGCGUGCUUAACACAUGCCAGUCGAACGGAAAGGCCCUGCUUUUGUGGGGUGCUCGAGUGGCGAACGGGUGAGUAACACGUGAGUAACCUGCCCUUGACUUUGGGAUAACUUCAGGAAACUGGGGCUAAUACCGGAUAGGAGCUCCUGCUGCAUGGUGGGGGUUGGAAAGUUUCGGCGGUUGGGGAUGGACUCGCGGCUAUCAGCUUGUUGGUGGGGUAGUGGCUUACCAAGGCUUUGACGGGUAGCCGGCCUGAGAGGGUGACCGGCCACAUUGGGACUGAGAUACGGCCCAGACUCCUACGGGAGGCAGCAGUGGGGAAUAUUGCACAAUGGGCGGAAGCCUGAUGCAGCAACGCCGCGUGCGGGAUGACGGCCUUCGGGUUGUAAACCGCUUUCGCCUGUGACGAAGCGUGAGUGACGGUAAUGGGUAAAGAAGCACCGGCUAACUACGUG